AGAGGGCGGGGGGUCCUUACCUUGCAAGUCGAACGAAGCGAUUAGAAGGGAGUUUUCGGAUGGAAUUCUGAUUGCCUGAGAGGCGGACGGGUGAGUAACGCGUGGGUAACCUGCCUCAUACAGGGGGAUAACAGUUAGAAAUGACUGCUAAUACCGCAUAAGCGCACAGGAUUGCAUGAUCCGGUGUGAAAAACUCCGGUGGUAUGAGAUGGACCCGCGUCUGAUUAGCUGGUUGGUGGGGUAACGGCCCACCAAGGCGACGAUCAGUAGCCGACCUGAGAGGGUGACCGGCCACAUUGGGACUGAGACACGGCCCAGACUCCUACGGGAGGCAGCAGUGGGGGAUAUUGGACAAUGGGGGGAACCCUGAUCCAGCGACGCCGCGUGAGUGAAGAAGUAUUUCGGUAUGUAAAGCUCUAUCAGCAGGGAAGAAAAUGACGGUACCUGACUAAGAAGCCCCGGCUAACUACGUGCCAGCAGCCGCGGUAAUACGUAGGGGGCAAGCGUUAUCCGGAUUUACUGGGUGUAAAGGGAGUGUAGACGGUUACGCAAGUCUGGAGUGAAAGGCGGGGGCCCAACCCCCGGACUGCUUUGGAAACUGUAUAACUGGAGUGCAGGAGAGGUAAGUGGAAUUCCUAGUGUAGCGGUGA
rnacentral:rRNA from 1 species